rnacentral:rRNA from 1 species
GACGAACGCUGGCGGCGUGCCUAAUACAUGCAAGUCGAACGAGAGCGACCGGUGCUUGCACUGGUCAAUCUAGUGGCGAACGGGUGAGUAACACGUGGGUAACCUGCCCAUCAGAGGGGGAUAACAUCCGGAAACGGAUGCUAAAACCGCAUAGGUCUUCGAGCCGCAUGGCUUGAAGAGGAAAAGAGGCGCAAGCUUCUGCUGAUGGAUGGACCCGCGGUGCAUUAGCUAGUUGGUGAGGUAACGGCUCACCAAGGCCGUGAUGCAUAGCCGACCUGAGAGGGUGAUCGGCCACAUUGGGACCGAGACACGGCCCAAACUCCUACGGGAGGCAGCAGUAGGGAAUCUUCCGCAAUGGACGCAAGUCUGACGGAGCAACGCCGCGUGAGUGAAGAAGGUUUUCGGAUCGUAAAACUCUGUUGUUAGAGAAGAACAAGUGCUAGAGUAACUGUUAGCGCCUUGACGGUAUCUAACCAGAAAGCCACGGCUAACUACGUG